UUUUACACCUUUUCUUAUCCCCAUUCUGCUCCCUCUGCUUGGCAUGCUUGCAAUAUUUCUCCACCAAAUAUGAUGAUGGUUCCAGGUUUUCUAUAGAUACCAUUUAUCCAGAAGCAUUUGGCCUGAGAAGAUACCACACCCUCUCCAUCGUUUUCAUAAGAAUUGCCUACCAUCUACAGAUGAACCCACCCAAGCAAAGCCAGCAUGCUCUGCAUAGGAAGCCUGAGAUGAUGGAGUCCACAUGCUGUUUAUUUAGUCAUCAUAGCUUUAUGACUUGAAAAUGUUGACAGAGACAUGCAUCUACCAGUCACCAUGGCAGGGAUUCAAUAGCCCACUGUGCCACAGAGGGCAUGCCUUGGAUGUAGAGAGUGAAGACUUUCCACAACUUGUGAAUGAGCCCUCUGUGAGUUUAGCCAAAACAUUCAUGUCAAAGAAAUGGAAAUCUCAAAUAAAACCCAUCGCAGGCCAAGCUCAGGAGGGCUGGCUAGCCAACAAAUCCUGAACAAGGGGGUUCAAGGGAAAAGGAAAACAUGUGUUUCAUAGGCAUGUAUGAAAAUAAUCUUUUCUUCUAUAGCUUUUGAAAUGAGGAUAAUGAAAUAUCAGUUGGUCUUUGAGGAUGAUGAAAGGAAUAUUUUUUGUAAGUUAUAAAACAAUAGCGUCUGCCUUUAGCAAGUAAUCUCAAGAGAGUCACUUUCAGAGUCCAGACUGGAAGAACACUUAACUUCAAAAUAGCUCUUUACAAAUACUAAUCAGAUGGUCCACAAAACUCUCUGCCAUAUGAAAGUUAUCUUAACCCAAGUAGGGAAGUCACAGAUAGCUGUAAAUAUCUGUGUGCCUAGCUCUGUGUUAGAAGCAAUGGUGAAUGUGUGUGUGUGGGAUGGGGUGGAGUCAGUGGGUAUGUGUAGGUGUGUUGGUGGGUGGAGAAAGGCUGCAUUCAUUUAGGUGCAGGAAAAGGCUUUUUUUUUUUUCUGAC
rnacentral:lncRNA from 10 species